GAGUUUGAUCAUGGCUCAGAACGAACGCUGGCGGCAGGCCUAACACAUGCAAGUCGAGCGAGAUCUUCGGAUCUAGCGGCGGACGGGUGAGUAACGCGUGGGAAUAUGCCCUUCUCUACGGAAUAGCCUCGGGAAACUGGGAGUAAUACCGUAUACGCCCUUAGGGGGAAAGAUUUAUCGGAGAAGGAUUAGCCCGCGUUGGAUUAGGUAGUUGGUGGGGUAAUGGCCUACCAAGCCUACGAUCCAUAGCUGGUUUGAGAGGAUGAUCAGCCACACUGGGACUGAGACACGGCCCAGACUCCUACGGGAGGCAGCAGUGGGGAAUCUUAGACAAUGGGGGCAACCCUGAUCUAGCCAUGCCGCGUGAGUGAUGAAGGCCUUAGGGUUGUAAAGCUCUUUCAGCUGGGAAGAUAAUGACGGUACCAGCAGAAGAAGCCCCGGCUAACUCCGUGCCAGCAGCCGCGGUAC
rnacentral:rRNA from 1 species